rnacentral:lncRNA from 1 species
GUCGAGGCAGUAAAUUGGACGGCACAACCGUGAACGAUGUCACAGUGUGAGGAGAGUCUGGGCUCUGGACGCUGAGGAGCCAGGGUGAUCCUCCCCUUAUCGUCUAGCUGUGGGACCACAGGUUCGUCUUGAUGGAGGUGGAGUCACUUCUGUGGUGUUGGAGAAAGUCAUGAGGCAGAGAGCAGAGCCAUUCCAGCACUUGAAUUGGGAGCUGGCGCACCCUGGAGACCCUCUACCCCAGCUGCGGGCGCACACACAGCAGUUAUUUACUGAGGGAUUCCUGCGUGCCGACACUGCACAUCGGUGAACUCAAGCAGCCCUCAAAAUAAAGCCACAAACCGAUAUUUGACGCCUCCACUUCAUCGAUGAGCAACGUGCUAACUCCCUAAGACCACACAGCUGAGUCGAGGAAACAACGAGAUUUAAAGUCAAAUCUUUGGGAUUCUCAAGCUGAUCUUUCCCCACCAUAUUAUACUUUCUUUCAUGGAGUAAUGAAUAAAACAUACAUUUCAAACAAG